UACGGGGGGGGCAAGCGUUGUUCGGAAUUACUGGGCGUAAAGGGCUCGUAGGCGGCCAACUAAGUCAGACGUGAAAUCCCUCGGCUUAACCGGGGAACUGCGUCUGAUACUGGAUGGCUGGAGGUUGGGAGAGGGAUGCGGAAUUCCAGGUGUAGCGGUGAAAUGCGUAGAUAUCAGGAGGAACACCGGUGGCGAAGGCGGGUCUCUGGGCAACAACUGACGCUGAGGAGCGAAAGCGUGGGGAGCGAACAGG
rnacentral:rRNA from 1 species